rnacentral:rRNA from 1 species
UACGGAGGGAGCUAGCGUUAUUCGGAAUUACUGGGCGUAAAGCGCACGUAGGCGGCUUUGUAAGUUAGAGGUGAAAGCCUGGAGCUCAACUCCAGAAUUGCCUUUAAGACUGCAUCGCUUGAAUCGCGGAGAGGUGAGUGGAAUUCCGAGUGUAGAGGUGAAAUUCGUAGAUAUUCGGAAGAACACCAGUGGCGAAGGCGGCUCACUGGACGCGUAUUGACGCUGAGGUGCGAAAGCGUGGGGAGCAAACAGG